rnacentral:lncRNA from 1 species
CUUACACUGAAAUAGUAUUACCAGCACCACCACCAAGCAUUCUUCUACUACCAAGAACCUCAGAACCUCUACUCAUUUCUCCAUGGUCUUCUCGGGCAUCAGCUCUGCCGGCUUCCCUCUCUCCUCGUCUCCCCAGAAUACUCCAUCAUCCUUGAAGAUUCUGCUCAAACGCCCUCCUCUGUGUGGACCACAUUUUUCUUGCUCUGGUGUUUAUGUCUUCCUCUAUUACAGCCUCUAGGGCCAAGUUUUCCAAACCGUGGUUCAGACAUAGUACUUUGUGAGCAUCAGUAUACUUAGAGAAAGACAAUGAGACAAUACGUUCUCAAAUGGAAAUAGCCUUAAAAAAUCCAAGACGUAGGGUCAUUAUAGUUAGAGCAUCGACAGUUGUCUAUCUCAGCGUUCACCGUGACUCUCCUCCAUCCAUGACCCGAGAUGUGAUGUUGGUCUUUCUGUGUCCAGUAUCGAUCACAAGAUCCAGUCAGUAUAUUUGACCCACAGAAAGGACUGUUUAGUUAAAUGGCUGCUUUAUGUCUUGUCUCUAUGCUUUAUCAUUAUCACUACUGGGUGCAGGGAGUGCUGAUCACGCUUGAAUGUGUUUAGAAAGUAGGUGGAGAAAUGGAAAUGGUAGAAGGAAAGAAGGGAGGGGAGGAAGGAGGAGGGAAAUGCAUUCAAUUCUCAUUCUUUGUCCUCAUGUCUGCCAGCGGUCCCAUAAAAUCACACCUUCUAGUCACUUUAGCCAGCUUGGUCUGUGUAAGUACAUUCUAGAAUGUUUGCACAACAACAAUGAGAUUGCCUAAUGACGCCAUUUCUCGGGAUGUAUUCCCAUCAUUAAGCAACGGAUGACUGUACUCUAAGAAGGCCAUAAUACCUGCCCUGUAUGUACAUACGUCACAGGAUUGUGUUAAGGUAGACCACUGUGAUAAAGUACUGCGUGCAAGUGAGACACGACAGACAAUGCCAAGAGUGUGCCAUGCGGUGGCUGCCAUCCCUUGGUCAAGGGACAGUGUCUGAGAAACCAGAAUGGAGGCUAAAAGGAAUGGGACAAGGGAGAUACACCCAGUGACAGCUGGACCACCUCUGAUGUAAACGUCAGAAAAACCAACUAACAUCGGCAUCCCCACGUGUGUUGUCCCCG